GUGUGUGUGUGUGUGUGUGUGUGUGUGUGUGUGUGUGUGUGUGUGUGUGUGUGUGUGUGUGUGUGUGUGUGUGUGUGUGUGUUGGUCCUUGUAUGGAUCAGAUUGAGAUGCCAGUCACUUUGUUGUAUAAAUCAAGCUGAGAGAGAGAGAGAGAGAGAGAGAGAGAGAGAGAGAGAGAGAAGCUAUCGGUUAUUCACAUGUAAUAUUUUAUCCUUUAUAUUUACGGCGAGGAAGAUGAUAACGUAGAUAAACCUCAACGCGCUGCUCACAAAGAAAGAAAUCCGAAGAUAUGAAAAGAAUUAUUAAUAUUGGAUGGAGCGGUUUCUUAAUACAGCGCUUGUGAAUGAUGGUUAAAGAAAGUAGGCAAUAUAAGUAAAUGAAAGCUGUUUGGGAGUUCACAAGCCAAGAAGGUGGACAGCACAGUGAAGAGCUUGAGUAUAA